UCGAGAAUUUUUCACAAUGGGGGAAACCCUGAUGGAGCGACGCCGCGUGGGGGAUGAAUGGCUUCGGCCCGUAAACCCCUGUCAUUUGCGAUCAACCGUUAUUAUUUAAAAGAUGAUGACCUGAUAGUAGCGAAAGAGGAAGGGACGGCUAACUCUGUGCCAGCAGCCGCGGUAAUACAGAGGUCCCGAGCGUUGUUCGGAUUCACUGGGCGUAAAGGGUGCGUAGGUGGUGAGGUGUGUCGGAUGUGAAAUCUCGGAGCUCAACUCCGAAACUGCAUUGGAAACUACCUUGCUGGAGGGUUGGAGGGGGGACUGGAAUGCUUGGUGUAGCAGUGAAAUGCGUAGAUAUCAAGCGGAACACCAGUGGCGAAGGCGAGUCCCUGGACAACUCCUGACACUGAGGCACGAAAGCUAGGGGAGCAAACAGG
rnacentral:rRNA from 1 species